rnacentral:rRNA from 1 species
AUUGAACGCUGGCGGCAUGCCUUACACAUGCAAGUCGAACGGUAACAGGUCUUCGGAUGCUGACGAGUGGCGAACGGGUGAGUAAUACAUCGGAACGUGCCUAGUAGUGGGGGAUAACUACUCGAAAGAGUGGCUAAUACCGCAUGAGAUCUACGGAUGAAAGCAGGGGAUCGCAAGACCUUGUGCUACUAGAGCGGCCGAUGGCAGAUUAGGUAGUUGGUGGGAUAAAAGCUUACCAAGCCGACGAUCUGUAGCGGGUCUGAGAGGACGAUCAGCCACACUGGGACUGAGACACGGCCCAGACUCCUACGGGAGGCAGCAGUGGGGAAUUUUGGACAAUGGGCGAAAGCCUGAUCCAGCAAUGCCGCGUGCAGGAUGAAGGCCUUCGGGUUGUAAACUGCUUUUGUACGGAACGAAAAGCCCUGGGUUAAUACCCUGGGGUCAUGACGGUACCGUAAGAAUAUGCACCGGCUAACUACGUGCCAGCAGCCGCCCGUAA